UGCUGUUCAAAAUUUGAAAAAAAACGUAUUCAUUUGCCUUUGUCUGCUUAGUUUUCUUAUAUUACUCAUAAUUAAAAUAUGUCAAUGUAAAUUUGCCUUUUAGAAUGAACUAAAAGUAUGAAAGAUGCAAUUCAUUAUGACUAUUUGGUCAUCUGUAUUCUAUAUUCUGAUAGUAUAUUCUGUUGCUAAACUCAAAAAUCUGUGCUUUCAAAUAUUGAAACGACAGGAUUUCAUUUGAUGCUAUGUCAAGCUGCUAGAAACCGUGUAUGUAUAUGAAAUGGAAUGAGUUCUAGACUGCUGCCGGAAUUCAAUUAGCCAAACACUUUCGUGUACUUUUUUAAUUGAACUUCCGUAAAGUGUGGGAAGAAGCUAAAAAUAUACAUAUGAACAUACUCAUCAUCAGCAGAAAGACCAGACACGCUGUGAAAGACUGACAGCAGCCACAUUCGUUCAUUCAUAUAUUCUUCCGAAAUCUGUGCGCGUGCAUGCGUAGACCUCAUAACUGGCAUAUCUAAGCAUAUACAGAUGAUGAUGAUGAUGAUAUUUGGUGGUAUGAUACGAUUGCUGGUAAUACGAGCAUAACUUGAACAGAUGCGACAGUGCCGGGAACAGGAAGAGCAGGAACUUUAGUAGCAACUUCUUGGCUGCCCCAACUCCAAUGACAAUUGGCAGCAACCAGAAUAACUUGAUCUUGAUGAUUUUGAUGAUUAGCAGCAAGGCCAGAAAAGAUAGCAACAAUUUGCUGCGUAGAAAUUUUUCUAAGGAAACGAAAGUUGAAAUUAUUUAAAUGCACUCGCAAAUUGCCAAGAGAAGCUGGAGAGUGAAAGCGAAUCAUCGCCAAUCUUCUCUAAAUAAAAUGGAGGUUUUUUUUUGUGUGGAUAUAUGCAUAUUACUUACGUAUUUUCUUCAUGAUUAUCUUGCCAGCCAGACGGGCUUGCACUUCCUGCUUU